CUCGUGCAUGCGCAGAGCGGGGAGACCUUGGCGAGGCGGCGGAGACGCUUAGCGGAGGUGAAAGCUUUGGCGGAAAGGAAAGUCCAGCGGCAACAUGCAGAGCUGGAGUCGUGUGUACUGUUCGUUGGCUAAGAGAGGCCAUUUCAAUAGAAUAUCUCAUGGUCUGCAAGGAGUUUCUGCAGUGCCACUGAGAACUUAUGCAGAUCAACCAAUUGAUGCUGAUGUAACAGUGAUAGGUUCUGGUCCUGGAGGAUAUGUUGCUGCUAUUAAAGCUGCCCAGUUAGGCUUCAAGGCAGUCUGCGUUGAGAAAAAUGAAACACUCGGUGGAACAUGCUUGAACGUUGGUUGUAUUCCUUCUAAGGCUUUAUUGAAUAACUCUCAUUAUUACCAUAUGGCCCAUGGAAAAGAUUUUGCAUCUAGAGGAAUUGAAAUGUCUGAAGUUCGCUUGAAUUUAGAGAAGAUGAUGGAGCAGAAGAGUAAUGCAGUAAAAGCUUUAACGGGUGGAAUUGCCCACUUAUUCAAACAGAAUAAGGUUGCUCAUGUAAAUGGAUAUGGAAAGAUAACUGGGAAAAAUCAGGUCACUGCUACGAAAGCCGAUGGCAACACUCAAGUUAUUGAUACAAAGAACAUUCUUAUAGCCACAGGUUCAGAAGUCACUCCUUUUCCUGGAAUUACGAUUGAUGAAGAUACAGUAGUGUCAUCUACAGGUGCUUUGUCUUUAAAAAAAGUUCCAGAAAAGAUGGUUGUCAUUGGUGCAGGAGUAAUAGGUGUAGAAUUGGGCUCAGUUUGGCAAAGACUUGGUGCAGACGUGACAGCAGUUGAGUUUUUGGGUCAUGUUGGUGGAAUUGGAAUUGAUAUGGAGAUAUCUAAAAACUUUCAACGCAUCCUUCAAAAACAAGGAUUUAAAUUUAAAUUGAAUACUAAAGUUACUGGUGCUACUAAGAAGUCAGAUGGAAAAAUUGAUGUUUCUAUUGAAGCUGCUUCUGGUGGUAAAGCUGAAGUUAUCACUUGUGAUGUACUCCUGGUUUGCAUUGGCCGACGACCCUUUACUAAGAAUUUGGGACUAGAGGAGCUUGGAAUUGAGCUGGAUCCUAGAGGUAGAAUUCCAGUAAAUACCAGAUUCCAAACUAAAAUUCCAAAUAUCUAUGCAAUCGGCGAUGUGGUUGCUGGUCCAAUGCUGGCUCACAAAGCAGAGGAUGAAGGCAUUAUCUGUGUUGAAGGGAUGGCUGGUGGCGCUGUGCACAUUGACUACAAUUGUGUACCGUCGGUGAUUUACACACACCCUGAAGUUGCUUGGGUUGGCAGAUCAGAAGAGCAGUUGAAAGAAGAGGGUAUUGAGUACAAAGUUGGGAAAUUCCCAUUUGCUGCUAACAGCAGAGCUAAGACAAAUGCUGACACAGAUGGCAUGGUGAAGAUACUUGGGCAGAAAUCAACAGACAGAGUAUUGGGAGCACAUAUUCUAGGACCAGGUGCUGGUGAAAUGAUAAAUGAAGCUGCUCUUGCACUGGAAUAUGGAGCAUCCUGUGAAGAUAUAGCUAGAGUCUGUCAUGCACAUCCGACCUUAUCAGAAGCUUUUAGAGAAGCAAACCUGGCUGCAUCAUUUGGCAAAUCGAUCAACUUUUAAAUUAGAAGAUUAUAUUUUUCUGAAAUUUCCUGGGAGCUUUUAUAGAGGUAACAUUUCUGAACAGGAAAUGCUCACAGCUCCAAGAAUUUCUAGGACUGAAUUACGAAACUUUUGGAAGGUAUUUAAUAGGUUUGGACAGAAUGGAAUAAUCUCAUCUAUAUUUUAAAUAAAUUUAAUAUUUUAUUUCACUGCAUUAAUACUGCAGAAAAAAAGCUACUUAUAGUAGCAUCCUGGAAAAUUUUCUUCAACCCAUAUUUUCAUGCUGUUUAUGAAAGGCUCAACUUCACUGAAUUUAUGCUAAGUAGCUUUUAUCUCUGAUACAGGAUUUACUUACAUGGAUGGAGCUGGACUAUGCUAUGUGAACAGCUGUGUUUGAAACAAGGUGAUCAAGUUAUUUUAAACUUGGUUUUCACAUUGGAAACAGUCGUUAGAAUAAGUUAAACAUGUAUAAACUGAACUGAUGUAAAUAAAAAAUGAUGGUCUAUCAGUUAUUUUAAUCCCCAAAGUCUUGGCAGUUAGAGGUAGAAUUUGUGUUUAGAUUUUUAAGGUUCUAGUGAGGUCUACAGUCUGAAGUAUAGUUAUAUAGUUGACCAAAGUAAGGCAGUAUAUAUACGAAAUUCAUAUAUUAAGUGGAGAAGCAAUGUAUUACAGUGGGAAAUUAAGAUAUGGAAAUAAACAUGUCUUAAAUAUUCAUUUACUGGUUAUUCUGAGUGGAUGUCAAGAUGGUCCUAGAUUUUUUAUGACUACCUCUACCAUACAUUCUUAUUUAUUACUCUUUAUUAUUGCUUUUAUAGGCCUGGAUAAAUCUUUUUUUCCCACACUGUAGGACAAUAUUAAGGUAUUUAAAAGGUAAUAAUGAUUGCAGUCUCUUACCGAAGUUAGCAGGUUCUGGGUUCCUUGGAUGUCUUCAUCUGCUUGUUUAAUUGCCUUCUCUGCUGCAAUCUGGGCCUUUUCUGCUUCUUCCAGAGCUUCCUUUACCAUGUCUGCAGUGACUUUAACAUCUGUUGCACUUUUGCUGAGUAAAAGAAUGAGACAGUAUAUUAUAUGUGAACAUGAAAAAAGUACUUCCUCUCAGAAGAGAGCAUUUCUUUUAAAGAAAAGCCUUCCUGAAAUGACCCCGAGAGACUCACAUGGAGAAAUACUUUACUCAAUGCUAGAUACACAAAGUCCCCCCUAAAUGCCAUAAUACUGUCUUCAGAUACCUGGCUCUUUGAGCUUCUUCUAACAGCAUCUCAGCUCUGGCAAUGUCGGCAGCACUCUGCUGUAGAAUGACCUCUACUUGAGAAAGGCUUUCAACUCGUUCACGAAUAUCUUCUGUCAAGUUCUGUAACUGCCGUGGGGUGCUGGGCAUUUCCAUUUUCAGUACUUCGUUAGCAACUGCUUCAAUGCUGUCCAGGUCAGCACUAUCCUCUGUUAAAAGCGAAGAUGGUUCAACUCAUUCAACCACUUAUUGGUCAUCUACUAUGUGAUCAGCAUGGUGGGGUUACACCAAGACAAAGACUUUGAAGAAAAACACAGCAGCACCACUCAGCUGUGUUGUGGCGGAUGGACUACAGGAGGGAUUCCGAAUGUCUGAUGUAACAUGAGCACAGAUCCAGAGCAUGGAAUACCAGCUCUGUACAUAAGCAGCUUCAAGCCCAUACAAUCCCACAAACUUGAAAGAUGUGACUCCAGUGUACAAUUAUGCCUCCCAGCCACCCACCAAAAAUGCUCUCAUGUGAACCUCAGGGAUCUCCUUCAAGAUGGGACAUUCAGAAAGCAAGCCCCACCGCCACCAGGAAGACAGUGGGAGCAACCCAAAGGAGCUUUUCAUACCCGACCCCCUUCAAGCCACGUCCCAUCAAAGGAGCCUCCUCCUUCCACCAACAAAGCAACCCUUUUGUUUUUCCUGAGAAAGAAGGUAGUACCAGUAAGAAUGGAAUAUGAUAACCAUUUAGCUUUCACAAUAUUUCAUUUGGAAUCUAAACCCAACUGCAUUUUGUUCUGUAUCUUCCUGUCUCCAAAGCUGUACUUUAGGCAUCUAUUUGUAAAUUACUCGUAUAUACAGUGUGCAUGUGUGUAUGUAUCUCAAAGAAAGGAAUAUUUGAGAAGACCUUACCCCUGGGUAUCACCUAACUGCGUAUUAUUGUCUUCUCAGGAAUAUAAUCGUACAAAAAACUGGGAAAAUGCAGAGAUGCUGAAAGGUUGGGGGCCAAUCGAAAAAUGAUGUUUAAGGCUGAGAGAAUACCAUGACCCAACUCAAAGAAAAAGUGCUUAAAAGGAUUUCGGGUUAAAUUACAUUUUGUAAACCUGAUGGCUGUUUUCCUGAGGCUAGUUUCUUUUUUUUCAGUGCUUUGCUUUUAUUAAUCGGUUGAUUCACAGAAGGCUUUCAUUUCUCCUCAGGUCUCGUACAAUGUUAUAAUUUUACAAAGUCAAAUCUCACAUUGUAUAUUUGUAAAUAACGCCCCUUUGGAUCCUAGACCACGUGUCCUUGGAUACUGUGUUGAAAAAAGAUUGAUGAAAUUGGUGUUCCCGAGGUGAUUACAAUCUGUCUGAUUAGGUGAAGAGUGACGGUAGGACCAGGGCUGUUUGAGGAGUGUAGUCGCUCUUCUGGCAGGCUCUUGAUGGAUACCAGAUUUUCUUGUUUUCCCUUAAGGUGCAUGACACCCAGGCCAAAGAAAUCAUUUCCUAAAUGGGCUUGCACUCAGACCAGGGCCUUCCACAGCUCGUUAUCGCUACAUGCGAGAAGGCUGAGCUGUACCACGGUCUUUUUAAUGAGGUUAAAUUUCUCACUAAGUGCAUUAUGGCCCCGCAUCAGACAUCGCCUAACACCCUGGUCAACCGCAUGAUCUUGGCCGUGAGAUCUGAGGCUUGAAAUCAAGGGACUAGUUACUUUAAAUCUAGAAGGUCUAGGAAGGACCUCCUACAAGGUACUUGAGCCAAUGUCAGCGGUCAGCUUCCUGCUUCUCAUACACAGCACUGAGAUGAAAAGGCCAUCUCACUUCUUAGAGAUGCUGAUUAAAAGUCCCAUCACACAAAAAUGUUACCGUAGUUCUGUCAUGAUAUAAUAUCGCCUUAAUGUAUAGGACUUAGCCAUGAAACAACAACCCCCUUGCUCAUGCCAAAUGGUGAGUCUACAAUAAAAACCCAUAGCAUUUGGGGAAACACAAA